AUUAUGGAGAGUUUGAUCCUGGCUCAGGACGAACGCUGGCGGCGUGCCUAAUACAUGCAAGUCGAGCG
rfam:Sporosarcina sp. HYO08 scaffold_7, whole genome shotgun sequence.